rnacentral:rRNA from 1 species
AUUGAACGCUGGCGGCAUGCCUUACACAUGCAAGUCGAACGGUAACGGGCCUUCGGGUGCCGACGAGUGGCGAACGGGUGAGUAAAGUAUCGGAACGUACCUUUCAGUGGGGGAUAACGUAGCGAAAGUUACGCUAAUACCGCAUAUUCUGUGAGCAGGAAAGCAGGGGAUCGCAAGACCUUGCGCUGAUUGAGCGGCCGAUAUCAGAUUAGCUAGUUGGUGAGGUAAAGGCUCACCAAGGCGACGAUCUGUAGCGGGUCUGAGAGGAUGAUCCGCCACACUGGAACUGAGACACGGUCCAGACUCCUACGGGAGUCAGCAGUGGGGAAUUUUGGACAAUGGGGGCAACCCUGAUCCAGCCAUGCCGCGUGAGUGAAGAAGGCCUUCGGGUUGUAAAGCUCUUUCGGCCGGGAAGAAAUCGUACGGGUUAAUACCCUGUGCGGAUGACGGUACCGGCAUAAGAAGCACCGGCUAACUACGUGCCAGCAGCCGCGGUAAGAC